rnacentral:lncRNA from 1 species
AAUUUGUUAUUAAACUAUUGAGAUAAUUUUAAAACUAAUUUUUAAUAUUAAAUUAUUUGAUAAAUCACAAAUAUGAUCAAUGUUUGGAUAAUUGAAAGUUAAACUAGUAUUAUCCUUUGGAUGGGUGUUGUGGGAGUGUUAUAACCUUAUUCAUACGUAAUUGUACUAUUGAAUUUAACAUUUGAUUUCGUGGAUCAAAA